UAAAUAGGAGUAUAGAGUUCUGUGCGUAGUAAAGAAAAUGGUAUUCAUUCACUCAGUUUGUCUACCUUCAUCCACAACAUUCAGAGCAUAGCUCAUUUGCUUCUACCAACUGCGAAUAACAUUGAACUGAAGCACAUGAAUGUUGAGGCUUGAGUUUUUUUAAUAUAUUUGUAAACCGAUAAAUAAUUUGAUCUUAAUGUGUGAUGGAUGGAUAGUUAAUGCACCCAGGAGACUCUACCUUGUUCAAGCACAUUGCCUCCGACCUUAGCUCAAUAUAUUGGCUCUGUUUAACCACAUUGCCUCCGACCUUAACUCAAUAUGUUGGCCCUGUGCAUGUAGCCCGCUUUUCACACAUCCUACUUGCUUUAGCACUUGUUACACUAUUUCAAUCCAUAUACUAGACUCAAGAUAAACAUAUAGAGAAAUCCUAGUUUCAAGGACUUGGUAUGGGAGUUGUUGGAAUGGGAGUCACCGGGAAAUUGUUGAGAUUGCUGCGAAGGUGAUGUGUGGAAAAAAACAGCCAUUGUGGUCGUAGCCUUGUGCGUGGCGGAACACAAUUUUUUUUCAUGGACGUCGUGUAGUGCGGUCGAUUUACAUGGAGGUUCGACAAGACUCGCGACAUGAUUAGAAGAAGUGAAACACUCUCGAGGUGAUAGGAAUCAAUAAAUUUGGCUCGUGCAACAUGGUUAAGUCAUGGCGCGGACAUGCACAUGGGGCAUGUUGAAGCGUUGGAGGCUUCAACAUACAUGUUUCCCAUUAGGUGAACGGAGAGCUACCAGUGUAUCUUGUGGCGAAGCAUUGGGCAUGUGCCAAUGCAUCGUUUUUUAUCAUGUUAUCAUAUGAGCAUUAAUGAUUUAAGAUAAAACCAUGGCAAUGCAUUGUUUCUUACUCCCUCCGUUAAAGUUUAGAAGACACAGUUAAAUUUACGUGCAUCUCCACAGUAGACAAGGUUUAAGGCGCAUUUCAUUUACUCCUAGCAGCAAAUUAGUACUUCAUUAUACUACUUCUAUUUGCAUGCGUAGUGUGAAUGCUAUUUUUCAUCCAAUCUCAGAGUCAACCAAUAACUACCUAGGUUCCAGAGAAUUUCCAAAC
rnacentral:lncRNA from 1 species